rnacentral:lncRNA from 1 species
UAAACUGUCCGUGAUCUGGAGUCCAGUGCAGCUAGUUCUUUGGAUCCUGCAAUCAAGAAAUAAAAAAAAAUCUAGUUAAUGAGUUGAACAUAACAUACAACAUACAAUUAUUCCAGCCCCAUUGUUAAAAACAACUAUCACCAAACUAACUGGACUAAUACCAUGUCAUCAAGCAUGUAAUUCAAGGAUCAGAAUAAUUAUACAAGUGUAAAUGUGUAAAGCAUAAGCACAAGUACAUCUACUAAAAGCUUCUCCUUUGAGAAAAAACAUUGCUUUAUAACUUAACGGUGCUGGGCUGAAUCACCCAAAGCACAGGCAGCCACAAGGGCCGGUACAUCGGCAUCCCAUUCCUCAUAGUUGUUAGGUCCGUACAUCCUGCCAAGACUAGUAAGCUCAUGAGCACCAGAGUUUGCCAAGCGACGACAUACAUUUAUUUCAUAAUAAGAAAACCAUAAUUUGAGUUGGUACUUGGUAUCCUCAAUAACAGCAGCAUAGGCCGACGAGUCCACCUUAUUGAUAUUCAGUGCUUCCACCAGGAGUUGCGAGUCCAUUUAAAAAACGACCCUCAUGACCCACAUAUCAGGGGCAAGAGAUAUUGCAUGGGA